rnacentral:rRNA from 1 species
GUAGGGUGGGCAAGCGUUGUCCGGAAUUAUUGGGCGUAAAGCGCGCGCAGGCGGUCCUUUAAGUCUGAUGUGAAAGCCCACGGCUCAACCGUGGAGGGUCAUUGGAAACUGGGGGACUUGAGUACAGAAGAGGAAAGCGGAAUUCCAAGUGUAGCGGUGAAAUGCGUAGAGAUUUGGAGGAACACCAGUGGCGAAGGCGGCUUUCUGGUCUGUAACUGACGCUGAGGCGCGAAAGCGUGGGGAGCAAACAGGAUUAGAUACCCUGGUAGUCCACGCCGUAAACGAUGAGUGCUAAGUGUUAGGGGGUUUCCGCCCCUUAGUGCUGCAGCUAACGCAUUAAGCACUCCGCCUGGGGAGUACGGCCGCAAGGCUG